CGUUCCGUGGCUUAGUUGGUAUAGCGUCUGGCUCGGUAUGCAAGAAGACGUCGGUUCGAAUCCGACCGGAUCGA